rnacentral:misc_RNA from 1 species
GCUCCGUUGGUGAACCAGCGGAGGGAUCAUUACCGAAGUUACCUUCAAAACCCACUGUGAACCUUACCUCUUGCCGCGUUGUCUCGGCGGGAGGCGGUGUGCGUCGCGCGCCCUAGCGGGCCGCGCCGCUCCCGUCCCCGCCGGCAGCGCCAAACUCUAAAUGCACAGCGGACUGUACGUUCUGAUUUACAAAAAAAACAAGUUAAAACUUUCAACAACGGAUCUCUUGGUUCUG